UAGAAUCACUUUCAAGCCGACCCUAUUCCCUUUAUCACUUCUUAAAAACGUUGGUUUUUGCACAAUGGGGCUUAAUGGUCUAAUAUGAGAAUUCGUUGAUUUUCAAAUCUGCUACAAAAAUCUGCUGUGUUUAUCUUUAUAACCAUUUAUCGCUGUUUUUGUAGUAUAUAACACACAGACACUGGCUGGGAGAUGUUACUAAGACUUAGUAAGUUCUUAAUAAUAGCUACAUUCACUUUCCUUUUCGGAAUUUCACUUAAAAACUCAAAUUUAAAAGAGGAAUUCAAACGAUUCCCAUUAAGUCCCAUGAGAACUGAAAUGAAAAUGGAUCUGAAAACCAUGUUGCCGAUGUUCUUAUUUCGCGGCUUGAGUAAAGUCGGCUGUGCCAGGGCCUUGACAGCUUGGCCGAUUUACGGAACACUAAAAAGCUUCUACUCCUCGAAAUUUAGAUGGCGCUAAGAAUGCAAAACUAGUUAAGCCACCGCUUUUACCGAUGCUGCACGGACUGUCAAGCAUUAAAUUGUGUCAUAUAAAAUGCGGUCAUUUUUAAUUCUUUAACUUGCACAGGCUUUCUUUUUUACAUUACAUUACAAGACCCCGAGAUAAAAACAGUAAAAACUUUGAAUCGAAUAUAGAUAUUGGCGACAGUCAGAAAUGGAUUCUGAAGAAGCUGUUGUGUUAAAUCUGUGGACAGCAAAAGACAUAGAUUGGCUAGUUUUUUAACAGUUUUAUAUUUGGGUUCAGAUUCUUAGGCUUUAAAACCAUGAAAAUCUCAGUACUGAACAAAUAUAUGAAUGGGAAAAUUAUUUUACUCCACAUUCAUUCAAGCCCAAUUCAAGCAGGGGCUUUAAACCAGAUGCCAUACCUUCAGUUAAUCUCCCAGGCUUAAUACAAAAUCACGAUUAUAAAGAACAGACUACUUUUGAUCACAUGGAACAGCAGCCGCCAACAGAAUAUGCUGAUGGAUUAAAAGUUAAAAACUUAAAAAAGCACCUACGUCUUUAGUAAUAUCAUAGGAUCGUAGGCAGACAAUAUGGCAAAAUGGGACAUUGGAUUCAAAAUUAAGUGGAGCUUAAUAUGGAGCAGAAUUCAUCUUGUUUCCGUAUAUUUUUUUAAGAGCGUCACUGCGUCAAUGUCAAAAUUGACUUAGAAUGUGAUGCUAAACCUGAAAGAAGAGAAAUUUCAGCAGA